UUUUCACCAACGGAACAGGGGGAAAAAAAGGAAGAAAAAAAAAAGACAUGGAUGGCAGCCAUCUCAAACUCCAAACCAGCCGCGACACCCGCCCACCCUCUCUGGUCCAAUAAAUGUGCCGCGCAACUGUUUGUCUGGUAACUGUGAGAGUUACCUUCGCACGGUAAACGCUCGAUCUUUUCUGAGAAGCGAGUGUAAUGAAUGCGGCAUGUGACCCCUGCUGGCUUGGAGAAGAGCUCGGGAAGAGUGGUUUCUUUUGUGGACGUGGAAGAGGGCAGGGAGGUGAAGUGAGGAGCCUGCGCGGUGCGGGAGCCAAUAAAGAUUUCGUUGUGAUCAUCAAAAGAAGAGAGUCCGACCGAUAUUGAGGAUGAGGCAGUGGAGCCGGAAGGCAAAAAGGUGGAAAGGAUUCUGAGCACCACUCCAUCUCGCACUGGAGCUUUCUCAGCAACCCAGAUUUUGCACCCCACACGCGUCUACCACUCUGCCAAGUUUAAAAAUUGCAACAAGAAAGGGCCUCGGCUUCAAGCUGGAAUGACAUACAUUCAACACACUUAAGACGCUCUGGCUGGUAAACUACUACGUGGAGGGAGCCAAGUCCUGUAGUGAUGUGCAAUGUUCCCAUAUACUUGUCAUGUCCAAGACUUGAUUAUGAGAGUUUUCUUUUUCUUUUUUUUAUCAAGCCAUCUGUAAUGUUGCAAAACUAUCACUAUGCUGAUCACAAGCACCCACUGAAAAGUAGAUUUUAUGCAGUUAUCUGUUGUGCAGCCUGUAAAAAAACAUGUAGAUUUGUAGUGAUUUUUGUCUCUCCCUUUGAAUGUGUGCGUGACAGUAAGAGGGAGGGAAGGACAGCAAGAGACAGGCAUGAAAUCUUGUCUUUUUUAUAUUUGACUGUAAACCUGUAAUGGAUUGUAGGAAUGAAAUUGCCUGUUACCAUAUGGGGGUAGCAUUGACGAAGGGUGCCAUCGGGUAACUAAAUAACAGAUGAGAGGACAGGAUGAAAGACACUGCUUUAAUCCACCACAACUGAUUUGAUAAUAAAACUCGAGUUCAUUUCACAGCAAAGCCAAUUAUGUCUUCAGUGAGUUCUGCCAUCACUGCUUUCGUUUCAAUCCUUAGAACCAUUUCUGUGGCGUAUUCAAAACCAGCGGGUUGUCUGUCACAUAUUUGUGAAAAUAUCUUGACAUAAUUAUGCAAAUAUUAGACCGAAACAGCAAACUAUGAUUAAAUCAAUAACUUCGAUUUGAAUAACGUUUUAAAGCCAUGAAAACUUUCAUUUUACAG
ensembl:lncRNA